UUUAAAUGACUUUUGAGAAAUGAUACCUUGAGAAAGAGAUUCCUAUAUCACACACAUACAUAUAUACAUCAACUUAAGCUGGAUCUUAGUUUUGCAAACCCGUAUUGAAGAACAGACCAUCAUCCUCCAUCUAGCAUACAUGCUCAUGGACUUCAACUUGUACAUCCUCAUGAGCCAUAUGUAAGCCUGAAUCGCUCUGUCAGGUAAUCCCCACUGCGUAUAGGAGGAAAUCUGCAUUCACAAACAAGUAUAGUUAUCCCUAAUCCUUGAUCAUAUACAACCAUUACAACUUCGAAGAAAAGACUUGAAAAAGCAUUGCUUGCAAUACAAGGAAAUACAAGCAGAACAAAAUAAAAAGCACAAAGAAAGGCUAUUAUGGAAGACAACUAGAAACAAGCUACAACUUUGAGAUUUUGUUUCAAUUUUCUUUGUAGGGAUAUGUUUCUAUUCUACAUGUUCAAAUAUUUUUCUGCCUGGGAGAAAUUUCAAAUCACGGAGUUAAGACAGGAAGGGGAAGAACAGACAGAAUUUGGGAGGUAAGCAGGCUUUGUUUGCACAAUUGCUACACUUCCAUAUACAAUCUCUCAUUUUAUGCCAACCAUAAUAUGUCCAUGGUCCCUUCCAAGAGAAAACAUAUAUAUCCAUGAUCCCAAGGUAUUCCAUCGAGUCACAUGAACAUCAGGUCAUCAAUUUGUCAAAAUUCACAACCAUAAGCUGGAGUUCACUAGGAACGACGAGUUCUUCAUAGUUUUCCUGCUGAAUAAAACAAAACCAACAAAUUGAAAGUUGACCAAAAAUAAACUAUUCGCAUGAGUUUACCUUGGGGGACAUGAUUCACUGCAACAACUUUCCAAGCAUUCCACUAAACAGUCUUCAUUAGGAUCUAAAAAAAAUGCCACCUGAAAUAUUGCAAUUUAAAAACUCGGUAGUAGA
rnacentral:lncRNA from 1 species